GACGAACGCUGGCGGCGUGCUUAACACAUGCAAGUCGAACGGAAAGGCCCUGCUUUUGUGGGGUGCUCGAGUGGCGAACGGGUGAGUAACACGUGAGUAACCUGCCCUUGACUUUGGGAUAACUUCAGGAAACUGGGGCUAAUACCGGAUAGGAGCUCCUGCUGCAUGGUGGGGGUUGGAAAGUUUCGGCGGUUGGGGAUGGACUCGCGGCUUAUCAGCUUGUUGGUGGGGUAGUGGCUUACCAAGGCUUUGACGGGUAGCCGGCCUGAGAGGGUGACCGGCCACAUUGGGACUGAGAUACGGCCCAGACUCCUACGGGAGGCAGCAGUGGGGAAUAUUGCACAAUGGGCGGAAGCCUGAUGCAGCAACGCCGCGUGCGGGAUGACGGCCUUCGGGUUGUAUACCGCUUUCGCCUGUGACGAAGCGUGAGUGACGGUAAUGGGUAAAGAAGCACCGGCUAACUCCGUG
rnacentral:rRNA from 1 species